GCUAUACNUGCAGUCGAGCGAAUGGAUUAAGAGCUUGCUCUUAUGAAGUUAGCGGCGGACGGGUGAGUAACACGUGGGUAACCUGCCCAUAAGACUGGGAUAACUCCGGGAAACCGGGGCUAAUACCGGAUAACAUUUUGAACUGCAUGGUUCGAAAUUGAAAGGCGGCUUCNGCUGUCACUUAUGGAUGGACCCGCGUCGCAUUAGCUAGUUGG
rnacentral:rRNA from 1 species